rnacentral:rRNA from 1 species
UACGUAGGGCGCAAGCGUUAUCCGGAAUUAUUGGGCGUAAAGAGCUCGUAGGCGGUUUGUCGCGUCUGCCGUGAAAGUCCGGGGCUCAACUCCGGAUCUGCGGUGGGUACGGGCAGACUAGAGUGAUGUAGGGGAGACUGGAAUUCUGGUGUAGCGGUGAAAUGCGCAGAUAUCAGGAGGAACACCGAUGGCGAAGGCAGGUCUCUGGGCAUUAACUGACGCUGAGGAGCGAAAGCAUGGGGAGCGAACAGG